AGGGUUUGAUCCUGGCUCAGGAUGAACGCUAGCGGCAGGCCUAAUACAUGCAAGUCGAACGGUGUCUUCGGACAUAGUGGCGCACGGGUGCGUAACACGUAUGCAACCUACCUUACAUUGGGGGAUAGCCUUUCGAAAGGGAGAUUAAUACCGCAUAAGACAGUAGCUGGGCAUCCAGCAGCUGUUAAAGAUUUAUCGAUGUAAGAUGGGCAUGCGUCCAAUUAGUUAGUUGGCGAGGUAAUGGCUCACCAAGACUUUGAUUGGUAGGGGAACUGAGAGGUCAAUCCCCCACACUGGCACUGAGAUACGGGCCAGACUCCUACGGGAGGCAGCAGUAGGGAAUAUUGGGCAAUGGACGCAAGUCUGACCCAGCCAUGCCGCGUGCAGGAUGAAGGCGUUAUGCGUUGUAAACUGCUUUUAUACAGGAAGAAACGACUCUUGCGAGAGGCAUUGACGGUACUGUAUGAAUAAGCACCGGCUAACUCCGUGCCAGCCGCCGCGGUAAUACA
rnacentral:rRNA from 1 species